rnacentral:rRNA from 1 species
AUUCAUGCCGCGUGAGUGAGAAGCUUCGGGUUGUAAAGCUCUUUUGUCAGGAAGAAACACCGGCUCUAACACAGUCCGGGAAUGACGGUACCUGAAGAAUAAGCACCGGCUAACUACGUGCCAGCAGCCGCGGUAAUACGUAGGGUGCGAGCGUUAAUCGGAAUUACUGGGCGUAAAGCGUGCGCAGGCGGUUAUACAAGACAGGCGUGAAAUCCCCGGGCUUAACCUGGGAAUGGCGCCUGUGACUGUAUGGCUAGAGUGUGUCAGAGGGGGGUAGAAUUCCACGUGUAGCAGUGAAAUGCGUAGAUAUGUGGAGGAAUACCAAUGGCGAAGGCAGCCCCCUGGGAUAACACUGACGCUCAUGCACGAAAGCGUGGGGAGCAAACAGGAUUAGAUACCCUGGUAGUCCACGCCCUAAACGAUGCUGACUAGUUGUUCGGGAUUUACAUCCUGAGUAACGUAGCUAACGCGUGAAGUCAGCCGCCUGGGGAGUACGGUCGCAAGAUUAAAACUCAAAGGAAUUGACGG